CAGCCGCCGCGGUAAUACGGAGGAUCCGAGCGUUAUCCGGAAUUAUUGGGUUUAAAGGGUGCGUAGGCGGACAGAUAAGUCAGUGGUGAAAGACGGUGGCUCAACCAUCGCAGUGCCGUUGAUACUGUUUGUCUUGAAUAUGGAUGAGGUAGGCGGAAUGUGGCAAGUAGCGGUGAAAUGCAUAGAUAUGCCACAGAACACCGAUUGCGAAGGCAGCUUACCAAGGCAAUAUUGACGCUGAGGCACGAAAGCGUGGGGAUCGAACAGGAUUAGAUACCCCAGUAGUCCCUGUCUCUUAUAA
rnacentral:rRNA from 1 species